UGGGGAAUAUUGCGCAAUGGGCGAAAGCCUGACGCAGCAACACCGCGUGAGGGAUGACGGCCUUCGGGUUGUAAACCUCUUUCAGCUCCGACGAAGCGAAAGUGACGGUAGGAGCAGAAGAAGCACCGGCUAACUACGUGCCAGCAGCCGCGGUAAUACGUAGGGUGCAAGCGUUGUCCGGAAUUAUUGGGCGUAAAGAGCUCGUAGGCGGUCCGUUGCGUCUGCCGUGAAAACCCGGAGCUCAACUCCGGGCCUGCGGUGGAUACGGGCGGACUAGAGUCCGGUAGGGGAGACUGGAAUUCCUGGUGUAGCGGUGGAAUGCGCAGAUAUCAGGAGGAACACCGGUGGCGAAGGCGGGUCUCUGGGCCGGAACUGACGCUGAGGAGCGAAAGCGUGGGGAGCGAACAGGAUUAGAUACCCUGGUAGUCCACGCCGUAAAACGGUGGGCGCUAGGUGUGGGAUCGUUUCCACGAUCUCCGUGCCGUAGCUAACGCAUUAAGCCGCCCCGCCUGGGGAGUACGGCCGCAAGGCU
rnacentral:rRNA from 1 species